GACGAACCGUGCGAACGUUGUUCGGAAUCACUGGGCUUAAAGGGCGCGUAGGCGGGCCUCCCAGUCCGUGGUGAAAGCCCGAGGCUCAACUUCGGGUCGGCCAUGGAUACUCCUGGGCUUGAGCACUGUAGAGGCAGGUGGAAUUCCGGGUGUAGCGGUGGAAUGCGUAGAGAUCCGGAAGAACACCGGUGGCGAAGGCGGCCUGCUGGGCAGUAGCUGACGCUGAGGCGCGACAGCGUGGGGAGCAAACAGG
rnacentral:rRNA from 1 species